CCUACGGGAGGCAGCAGUGAGGAAUAUUGGUCAAUGGUCGGGAGACUGAACCAGCCAAGCCGCGUGAGGGAUGAAGGUACAGAGUAUCGUAAACCUCUUUUGUCAGGGAACAAAGGCGGGGACGUGUCCCCGGAUGAGUGUACCUGAAGAAAAAGCAUCGGCUAACUCCGUGCCAGCAGCCGCGGUAAUACGGAGGAUGCGAGCGUUAUCCGGAUUUAUUGGGUUUAAAGGGUGCGCAGGCGGUCUGGUAAGUCAGCGGUAAAAGCCCGGGGCUCAACCCCGGCCCGCCGUUGAAACUGGCAGUCUCGAGUUGGAGAGAAGUAUGCGGAAUGCGCGGUGUAGCGGUGAAAUGCAUAGAUAUCGCGCAGAACUCCGAUUGCGAAGGCAGCAUGCCGGCUCCACACUGACGCUGAGGCACGAAAGCGUGGGUAUCGAACAGGAUUAGAUACCCUUGUAGUC
rnacentral:rRNA from 1 species